UCCCUGCCUUCCCCGCCGCCGAUCGCGCCGGGCCGGGCCGCCUCUCACCUGUGUCGAGGUUGAAGGAGAUGCGGGCCUCGGCGAGGUAGGGGGUGUCGCUCUUGGAGCGGACGCGGCGGAUGGGUCUGCGGUCGAUGUCCUCCUCGGAAGAUGCCGCCAUUAAUGUGGGCACGCUUUUCUAUGUAGGACUUUUCUUCACUGCCCAAUGGGAAAGAGAAUGACAACGUGCUAGAAAUUGAGAAGAAGCUUUACACAUUCAAAGAUGCUGCUCCUGGCCUUUUGUUCAGCAGAGAGAGAAAAUAAAGCAACAUCUACAAAACUUCUGCAUUUGGAAGCAACAUAAGUUCUCUUGGACACCCGAAAGGUUCUUCCUCUCCCAUCUUCCUUAACAGGGCUGCAGGCGGAAUGUGAGAAGGAGCAAUAUGAAUGUGUGGUGAGCACCUCACAGCAUUCCCUGGGGC